rnacentral:rRNA from 1 species
UGAACGCUGGCGGCAGGCCUAACACAUGCAAGUCGAGCGGAUGAAGGGAGCUUGCUCCUGGAUUCAGCGGCGGACGGGUGAGUAAUGCCUAGGAAUCUGCCUGGUAUUGGGGGAUAACGUCCGGAAACGGGCGCUAAUACCGCAUACGUCCUGAGGGAGAAAGUGGGGGAUCUUCGGACCUCACGCUAUCAGAUGCGCCUAGGUCGGAUAGCUAGUUGGUGGGGUAAAGGCCUACCAAGGCGACGAUCCGUAACUGGUCUGAGAGGAUGAUCAGUCACACUGGAACUGAGACACGGUCCAGACUCCUACGGGAGGCAGCAGUGGGGAAUAUUGGACAAUGGGCGAAAGCCUGAUCCAGCCAUGCCGCGUGUGUGAAGAAGGUCUUCGGAUUGUAAAGCACUUUAAGUUGGGAGGAAGGGCAGUAAGUUAAUACCUUGCUGUUUUGACGUUACCAACAGAAUAAGCACCGGCUAACUUCGUG